GGGCAGGUACCCAAGUGGCCAAAGGGGACUGACUGUAAAUCAGUUGGCUCAGCCUUCGGAGGUUCGAAUCCUUCCCUGCCCA
rnacentral:tRNA from 2 species